rnacentral:lncRNA from 1 species
UUUUGUUCACUUUGCCUCGUUGAGGUAAAGGUGUCUUUUCAUUCACUUUGCUUUGUUGAGGUACAGGCGUCUUUUCCUUCACUUUGCUUCGUUGAGGUACAGGUGUCAUUACCUUCACUUUGUCUUGUUGAGGUAAAGGUGUCUUUUCCUUCACUUUGCUUCGUUGAGGUAUAGGCGUCUUUUCCUUCACUUUGUCUCGGAGAGGUACAUACAGUGGCGAUGGUCUUCUCUUGGGAAACCUGAAUUUCCUGUAGAACAUUAUAUAGCAAUCCAGUUAGUCAAUGAUAAAACUAACCCUAAAAUCGAACACUAAUCCAAAUGAC